UUCACACAUUAUUUCCGAGCAUCCUGACAACCACCAGAUGACGUUGGCUGUAAUCAGUUCGAUUCACAGGCACUGUCCUGAAUGCUGAGAAUUGAGUAGGGGCAAAAACUAAGUCCUGACCACAAAGAAGAAAGACAUUAACAAAUUUGGAAACCAAGGUGUACAAAGAGAAGGUGACUUUACCAAAGCCACAGACUAAUAAAUGGGACUUAUGUUCAGGUCUGACUUCAAGUCUAACCUU